rnacentral:rRNA from 1 species
CCUACGGGAGGCUGCAGUGGGGAAUAUUGGACAAUGGGGGGAACCCUGAUCCAGCCAUGCCGCGUGUGUGAAGAAGGCCCUCGGGUUGUAAAGCACUUUCAGUGAGGAAGAACGCCUGGUGGUUAAUACCCAUCAGGAAAGACAUCACUCACAGAAGAAGCACCGGCUAACUCCGUGCCAGCAGCCGCGGUAAUACGGAGGGUGCGAGCGUUAAUCGGAAUUACUGGGCGUAAAGCGCGCGUAGGUGGCUUGAUAAGCCGGUUGUGAAAGCCCCGGGCUCAACCCGGGAACGGCAUCCGGAACUGUCAAGCUAGAGUGCAGGAGAGGAAGGUAGAAUUCCCGGUGUAGCGGUGAAAUGCGUAGAGAUCGGGAGGAAUACCAGUGGCGAAGGCGGCCUUCUGGACUGACACUGACACUGAGGUGCGAAAGCGUGGGUAGCAAACAGGAUUAGAUACCCCAGUAGUC